UGGCUCUGGCAUCGAUGAAGAACGCAGCGAAAUGCGAUAAGUAAUGUGAAUUGCAGAAUUCAGUGAAUCAUCGAAUCUUUGAACGCACAUUGCGCCCGCCAGUAUUCUGGCGGGCAUGCCUGUCCGAGCGUCAUUUCAACCCUCAAGCCCCCGGGCUUGGUGUUGGAGAUCGGCGAGCCCUCCGGGGCGAGCCGCCUCCCAAAUUUAGUGGCGGUCUCGCUGUAGCUUCCUCUGCGUAGUAGCACACCUCGCACUGGGAAACAGCGUGGCCACGCCGUAAAACCCCCCACUUCUGAAAGGUUGACCUCGGAUCAGGUAGGAAUACCCGCUGA
rnacentral:misc_RNA from 1 species